UACGGAAGGUGCAAACGUUGCUCGGAAUUAUUGGGCGUAAAGCGCACGUAGGCGGACCAUCAAGUCGGAUGUGAAAUCCCUCGGCUUAACCGAGGACGUGCAUUCGAAACUGAUGGCCUUGAGUACGAAAGAGGAUCGCGGAAUUCCCGGUGUAGAGGUGAAAUGCGUAGAUAUCUGGAGGAACACCGGUGGCGAAGGCGGCAUCCUGGACCAAUAUUGACGCUGAGGAGCGAAAGCCAGGGGAGCAAACGGG
rnacentral:rRNA from 1 species